AAGCAACGCAAACCUGCUUUGUCACAGCCGCGAGGCCACGAGUCGGAGGUGAGGGCGCUGGCCGGGUCCUAUCUCCAAACACAGUUACGCGCUGAGGUUCGAUGGCUUUGAAUUUCAAAAUGGGAAAUACGACUCCGCCCACAACAGGUGUAGGGGAGACCCCCAAAGUCGCCUAGAAACACUGCAAGCUGUCAGAGCUGUAAAACUGACACUUUUUCCUGUUUCCAUCGUAAUUAAACACAAGACACAACCCAGGAAGAAAAGGACGUCGCUGCCCUGAUGGCCCCCCAGACAACAAAAACUUGAACCUGUCCUAUAAAACUUCAUUUUCUUUAAAGAAAAGAGGGCAGGGGGGAGUCUGAUCUUUGACUUCUGUAAUACUAGCAUUUAUAGGUAUGACAUAAACUUUGUGAAUAUGA